CAAGCAUGCAUAAAUCCAGGAAGUCAGAUUCCUCAAGCUUGUUGCUUAUCGUUGCCAAAUUGCCAACAUAAAACAGAAUGGCAAAUGGGUUCUUUAGAUGUUUUGAAUGCAAUAAGGACGCGCACGAGAUUACAGUAAUGGGAUCUUGAAGAGAAUAAUAUGUUCAUUCUAUACUGCAGCAGAAAGCUCUCCCCACUGGCUGUGUGUGUGGGUCUGCUAUUGGAGACGUGCAUAGCCCAGGCAUUUCAGACACUUCCAUGGAGCAUACCGGACAUCCUGCCGUUCCAGUGACCUGUUUCAGGCCGGUCCUAAAGAACACACUGUUACAAUGGCGCCUAUUAUACCCGGGACCAGAGAGCGGAGGACCUGAGCCCUAGGACCAUGCCUCAGGACUACCUGGCAUGAUGACUCCUUGCUGUCCCAAGUCCACCUGGCCGUGCUGCUGCUCCAGUUUCAACUGUUCUGCCUGUGGCUAUGGAACCCUGACCCGUUCACCGGACGUGCUACCUGUCCCAGACCUGCUGUUUUCAACUCUUUGAAAAGCGAACUGACAUUUACUCCUGAAGUGCUGACUUGCUGCACACUCGACAACUACUGUGAUUAUUAUUAUUUGACCAUGCUGGUCAUUUAUGAACAUUUUAACAUCUUGGCCAUGUUCUGUUAUAAUCUCCACCCGGCAUAGCCAGAAGAGGACUGGCCACCCCUCAUAGCCUGGUUCCUCUCUAGGUUUCUUCCUAGGUUUUGGCCUUUCUAGGGAGGUUUUCCUAGCCAUGCUUCUACACCUGCAUUGCUUGCUGUUUGGGGUUUUAGGCUGGGUUUCUGUACAGCACUUUGAGAUAUCAGCUGAUGUAAGAAGGGCUAUAUAAAUACAUUUGAUUUGAUUUGAAGCACACAUGCUGAAAGUGUUCCAGCAAGCGUGUAGUGAGUGCAGCAUUAUUCAACCUGGUGUAGUGGUAGAUCAUGAGCCUGGAUAAUCAGUUUAGUAUAACAAGAAUCACAUCAGAGCUAUUAGAAUGUUGAGACCAGUGCAUAAAUGUGCUGUUAAAGGGAAACAACAUUUGAGUCAUUGGGACAAAAGAUGUCAUGAAGAAUAGAGAAUUUGCGGUUGUAAUUCUCUAUCUCCGUGAAGGAGAUGAAGAAGAGCUCAGUGUAAGCUCAUGAGGAUAGUGCCAGCCAGGUCCAGGGCUCAGAGAGUAAAAGUCAGACAGGAUCACUGAAGGAGGGCUGACUGUUCUGUGCCAAAGCUGGGCUGUCAACUCUCAAUCAGCUUUUCGAAACCCUCUGGACAAGUUAACCAAGGUUUCAGACAGCACAUCUGUUGACACAAUAAAGGUCAUAUGUGCUUCUAAUCACACCAUAUUUGAUUGCCAGUAAUGUAAGUGUUCAUCAACAAUUGUUUGAUGUUUUUAGUUUUGUGUUCAUCAUAUUUCUGAAUAAAACCAAACUUCAAGGAUA